AUUGAACGCUGGCGGCAUGCUUUACACAUGCAAGUCGAGCGGCAGCGCGGGGGCAACCCUGGCGGCGAGCGGCGAACGGGUGAGUAAUGCAUCGGAACGUAUCCUCGAGUGGGGGAUAACCCAGCGAAAGUUGGGCUAAUACCGCAUGAGCUCUGAGGAGGAAAGCGGGGGACCUGCGAGGGCCUCGCGCUGGAGGAGCGGCCGAUGUCCGAUUAGCUAGUUGGUGGGGUAAAGGCUUACCAAGGCGACGAUCGGUAGCUGGUCUGAGAGGAUGAUCAGCCGCACUGGGACUGAGACACGGCCCAGACUCCUACGGGAGGCAGCAGUGGGGAAUUUUGGACAAUGGGGGCAACCCUGAUCCAGCCAUGCCGCGUGAGUGAAGAAGGCCUUCGGGUUGUAAAGCUCUUUCGGACGGAACGAAAUGGGCGGGACUAAUACUCCUGUCUGAUGACGGUACCGUAAGAAGAAGCACCGGCUAACUACGUG
rnacentral:rRNA from 1 species